AGGUCAUAUCACAGAACAGAAAUGGCUUGUGCACGGAUGGCAGCUGGAAAGGAAUAACGGAAGUCCAUGUCCAUGCACUGGGUGGACUAAAUCUUCAGUUUGAUGCAGUCAAGGCAAUCCCUGAAAACCAAGAACCUGUUGGUUUUCAUGUAUCUAAGGUGCAUCUGGUAAUGAGAAGGAACCAGACCAAAGAACUAAGAAACGCUGAUCCUCUGCGGGUGAAGUAAGCUACAGGCACUUCAGUGAAUGUCUUCAGUGCAAGCAUGUAAAGGAUCAUUUGAGACUAACUUGGGAAGUGAAUACUUGAGAUGAAGACCAACAUUUCAGAGCAUUUUUGCUUACAAAAGCAUCAGUAUCUAAGGGAAGCAAGCUUCAGAGAGAAAGCACAGCUGCACUCAUUUUUGCCUCACCUAGAGGAACACGCAGCUAAGGUGCCUCAACUCCCACCCAGCUGAGAAGCCAAGCACCCUGAGAUUUAUCUUACUGACCAGAAGAAGAACACAAGACUCAAACCUUGCGUGUGUGGGCUGAAUGUAUCAAGAUGAAUUUAUCCAGUAGGUUUGAGUAUUGAAAACAGCUGAGGAAGCCAUAAUAUGUGAGCAGGAAAAAGAAUGAAAAAGGUUUAAAUGCAUUAAAUAAAUUAUGGGCAGUAAAUUAGUUGCACUGCUUUCCCGCCUAAUGAGUUCCUUCGAUGGGAUUUGUAUACACCAGCAUGUUAAGCUACCAAGCUGAAUUACAAAUAGCAUCCUUGGAUCCUUC